rnacentral:rRNA from 1 species
UACGAAGGGGGCUAGCGUUGCUCGGAAUCACUGGGGGUAAAGCGCCCGUAGGCGGCUUCUUAAGUCAGGGGGGAAAUCCUGGAGCUCAACUCCAGAACUGCCUUUGAUACUGAGAAGCUUGAGUCCGGGAGAGGUGAGUGGAACUGCGAGUGUAGAGGUGAAAUUCGUAGAUAUUCGCAAGAACACCAGUGGCGAAGGCGGCUCACUGGCCCGGUACUGACGCUGAGGUGCGAAAGCGUGGGGAGCAAACAGG